CUGCAAAGCCUCCAAGGUAAUACAUGACAAAUAAACAUCCCAAAUCCCUCUGCAGUCAUGGCACUUGAUCCCAUGGAAGUUUGGAUCCUGAUCCUGCUAUUAAAAGAUCCCUUCUCCCAGCUCUUGGCACCGUGGUCUCUAAACUGGGAAGCUGGAAUUGCUGCUCCAGGGUUUAUCCCACAGCUGCUGGGAGAUGGGGGAAGGAGAGUCCAGUUCCUGUGUGUUCUUCUCCACGUGCUGGUCAGGGUCCCUGUUCCUGUUUGGUCCUUGGUGGCUGAAGCCAGGAAUUCCAAGAAGUUGGAGCAACCAAACUGAUUCCUGAAUUCCUAACCCUGAAAACCCUCCACAUUAUGAGUGUUUUGGCUUCAUUCCUGAUAAAUUAGGGCUUGGGAAAUGAGGGCAAAACUGGGAAAACUGUUGAGUGAUUCCAGUUCUUACUGAAUUAAAAGUAGCAUAUUAAAUGUUGUGGUUUCCCAACCAUUGGAAAACCUCAUCAUCAUCCAAUGGUUUGGGUUGGAAGAGCCCUUAAAUAUCAUCCAAUUCCAGCCAAUUCCAAGGGCAGGGAAUCUCCCACUAUCCCAGUUUCCAGCUGAGUUUGUCCUCUGAGAGGCAUUUUAUGUGGAUCAGAAGAGCACCAGAGACUGAAGAAAAGAGGCCACCCUGGGUAAAACCUUGGGGUUCACUUGUUUUAAUGAAUUUUCCUGUAUUAAUUAACACUCUGAUUGUCUCUGCAGGGACCUCCAGGACAUCCUGGCUCAUCCCUGAGCUGCUCCUGUGUUUCCAUGGUCCCUGAUGGGACUCAGAGAUGUCCCUUGGAGGUGCCCCCAAAGCCCAGGGAGGGGAUUUGGUGUCUUAAACAACCCCUUACAGAAUGAUGGGGCGGGUUUCAAAAGAUGUUUAAAUGCAAAAUAUAACUAUUUAUCUUCCAGGAAAACCAGGUUUCAAACCCAGGGGACAUUCUCUGAUUUUUUGGGUAUUAUUUUUGUGCUGGUUUCGGGCAGGUAAAAGGUGACAAAACUCACUUGCAAUUAAAAUAUGAUGAAGUCCAGGGGUUUUUUUUUCCCCCCACUUCUCCUUCUGUUUAACCUGCAGCUGAUAAAAAUCAGCAAUUUCUAGUUCACACAGUCAAAUGCUUGGACUGUGAUAUUUGUACAGCACUGUUUUAUUUUCUGACACUGCAGGGACUGAGUUAUUGAAGCAUUUUUAUUGGACUCAGAGAAAAUAUGCUGCUUUUCUACCUGAUUUGAGAAGUUUCUCUUUUCUAUGGUUUUUAUAACCCAUCUCCUGUGGGAAAGGUCCUGGAGUUGUAGUUUCCUGCCAGGUCAGGAAAGGGAAAAAAUGCCUGGAUGAAGUGGACUUUUCAGCCUCCCUGGAAUUGAGGUGGCUGAGCUGGAAAAGGGGCUUUGUUUCAAAUGCAGCAGUUUGGGAGGGUGCAGUGCCACGAUAUCCAGUGUGUGCUGGAU